rnacentral:rRNA from 1 species
GACGAACCGAGCGAACGUUAUUCGGAAUCAUUGGGCUUAAAGGGCGCGUAGGCGGCCUUCUAAGUCGAACGUGAAAUCCCCGGGCUCAACCCGGGAACUGCGUCCGAUACUGGAAGGCUUGAAUCCGGAAGAGGAGAGUGGAAUUCCUGGUGUAGCGGUGAAAUGCGCAGAUAUCAGGAAGAACACCCGUGGCGAAGGCGGCUCUCUGGGACGGUACUGACGGCUGAGACGCGAAAGCGUGGGGAGCGAACAGG